UACGGGGGGAGCAAGCGUUGUUCGGAUUUACUGGGCGUAAAGGGCGCGUAGGCGGUCAGCACAAGUCAGUUGUGAAAUCUCCGGGCUUAACUCGGAAAGGUCAACUGAUACUGUGCGACUAGAGUGCAGAAGGGGCAACUGGAAUUCUCGGUGUAGCGGUGAAAUGCGCAGAUAUCGGGAGGAACACCUAUUGCGAAGGCAGCUCGCUGGGACGUCACUGACGCUGAGACGCGAAAGCGUGGGGAGCAAACAGG
rnacentral:rRNA from 1 species